UUAUUUUCGUCUUUGCCACUGAUCAGCGGGAGUGGAUAACGAAGCCAUCUGUAGAGCUCAGAGAGCGCCUCAAAGCUUCUCCAUAGCACCUCCAAUGGCGACCUCCACGACGCCAUCAUCGCUCUCUUUCUUCACUUCUUCGGUGUUUCUUUCCUCUGCGAACCAAAAUUCGAAGCUGUUUUGCCAUUGGAAACCUAAUUCCCUAAAACCCCAAACCAAGCCCUUAUCGAUCUCCUCACAGCUCGCUACUCUUCCGGUCCUCUCCUUCGCCGGAGAAAAAGUCGGCGAGACCUACCUCGACCUGAAAUCUGCUCCACCGGAAACCGCCCGCGCCGUUGUUCACCGAGCCAUUAUCACCGAUCAACAGAACAAACGCCGUGGGACCGCCUCGACUCUCACCAGAGCUGAGGUUAGCGGAGGAGGCAAAAAACCCUACCAGCAGAAGAAGACGGGGAAGGCCCGCCGCGGUUCGAUGCGUACUCCUCUCCGGCCUGGUGGGGGCGUGGUCUUCGGGCCCAAACCUAGAGAUUGGUCCAUUAAAAUCAACAGAAAGGAGAAGAGAUUGGCGAUAUCGACGGCGGUGGCUAGCGCGGCAGUGAAUACGAUUGUGGUGGAAGAUUUUGGCGACAAAUUCGAGAAGCCGAAAACGAAAGAGUUCAUUGCUGCACUGAAGAGGUGGGGAAUCGACCCAAAGGAGAAAUCGUUGUUCUUAAUGACGGAGGUUUCAGAUAAUGUGCGACUUUCCAGCCGCAAUAUCGGAACCUUGAAAUUGUUGACGCCUAGGACACUGAAUUUGUUCGAUAUCUUGGAUUCCGAUAAGAUGGUUUUGACGCCGGCAGCGGUGGAUUACCUGAACGAGAGGUAUGGAAUCAAUUACGAAGGAGGAAUCGAAGACGACGAGGAAGAAGAAGAAGAAGAACAACAAGGUGAAGAAGGCGAAGAAGGAGGCCUGAAUCUAGUAAUGUCAUUUCUUCCCCAAUUAAUAUCGAUAUCCACUUGUUGAACCGUUGUUCAAAUCACCAAGCUCACAAGCGAAGUGAGGGGAGUGUUAAAGGGCUGGAGGCAGGUGAGGAUUCCGAUGCGGCGGAAUGAUUCUGCUUUAGGUAUGUUAACUUGCAGGCUUGAACGUAUUCUUUUUUGUUCUUGUACACAAAAAGGUAUCUCCUUCUUCCCUUUUCCUCUGAUAUCCUAAAGUGUUGUUAGCUGAUCUCUUCAAGAAUAAUCUUUUAUUCUUUCGGAGUUUGCAUCUCUGUUAUGGCUUCUUCUUUGCACUUUUUUUCUAAGCCUGGGAGCUUCCAUUACCAUUUCAGUUCUCCCAUGGCAGUUCUUUCUUCUUGCAUAACAUGUGAAAAUGUUCAAAGAGAUGGAGAUUUGCAGCUUCUUAGGCUCUGCUCAAAAACUAGAUUUCUGGAGUUCAUGUAGAAUUGGUUUAAAUGGUUCUCUUUCUGAUCUUAAAAGUGUGGCUGACAAUACAGUUUACAGUGGCAUAAUCCAUAAUUUCUGGCUAACAAUACAGUUUUGAA